UACCACAUUCACUUGGGAAGGGGAGG
rnacentral:piRNA from 1 species